GGACUAAUAUGUUGGUCGUACUUUGUACGUACUAACAUUAUUGGUUUCUCCCUUCUGACGAACCACGAUGUCAUUAAUUUGGUGUCAUGGGAAAUCAGGACUGUUACUUUGAAAAAAUUAGAGUGUUUAAAGCAAGCUCGCGCUUGAAUACAUUAGCAUGGAAUAAUGAAAUAGGACGUUUUAUUCUAUUUUGUUGGUUUCUAGGAUCGACGUAAUGAUUAAUAGGGAUAGUUGGG
rnacentral:rRNA from 1 species